UACGAAGGGGGCUAGCGUUGUUCGAAAUUACUGGGCGUAAAGCGCGCGUAGGCGGAUCGCUAAGUCAGGGGUGAAAUCCCAGGGCUCAACCCUGGAACUGCCUUUGAUACUGACGAUCUGGAGAUCGGGAGAGGUUGGUGGAAUUCCGAGUGUAGAGGUGAAAUUCGUAGAUAUUCGGAGGAACACCAGAAGCGAAGGCGGCCAACUGGCCCGAUACUGACGCUGAGGCGCGAAAGCCAGGGGAGCAAACGGG
rnacentral:rRNA from 1 species